rnacentral:rRNA from 1 species
UACGGAGGGUGCAAGCGUUAUCCGGAUUCACUGGGUUAAAGGGUGCGUAGGUGGCAGGUAAGUCAGUGGUGAAAUCUCCGGGCUUAACCCGGAAACUGCCGUUGAUACUAUCUGUCUUGAAUGUAGUGGAGGUGAGCGGAAUAUGUCAUGUAGCGGUGAAAUGCUUAGAUAUGACAUAGAACAUCGAUUGCGAAGCGCUCGGCUACACUAUAUUGACACUGAGGCACGGAAAGCGUGGGGGAUCAAACAGG